GUUAGGUGUAGCUUCCUGGGGUUGCAUAACUCAUAUGUGAGGAAGCUGGGAUUUCUGCCUAGUCAUUGCUGCAGUCAGCCCACAGCACUGUGCCCAUUUUACCAGCCAUCCACGGAGGAGGAGGCAAGAGGUCCUUACAGCAGCAAUUUGGGGACAGGUGGACACAGAGCUAAAAAGAUCACGGGGAAGCAGCAGGCUAAAACGGAGGAGAAAAUAUAACCCCAGAGAGCCUUGGUCUCUUUGCUGAAUUCUUUCUUCAAAGAAGACAACAACCGAGGUCCUUCUUCCAGCUUCUCACUGUGGGAAUCAAAGCCUUCAGAUAAAGCCACAGCCCUAGCCAUCAGCUUGACUGCAGCCUCAUAAAAGACCUUAAGCCAGAGCCACCAGCUAGGUUCCUACUCACAAAAACUGGAGAUAAUAAAUGUUUGGGGUUUUGAUGCUGAGUUUGGGGAUAAUUUGUUACAUGUCAAUAAGUAACUAAUAUAACCACCAUCUACAACACUUCAAAAUAUAUCAAGUACCUAGAAGUAAAUCUACCCAGAAAUGUACAAAAUUCAGAUAAAAUUCUAAAACUUAAUUGGGACAUCAGAAAUAAACUGACACACUCACCAAUGGUCCCAUA